rnacentral:rRNA from 1 species
GACGGAGGGCGCAAGCGUUUUUCGGAAUUACUGGGCGUAAAGCGCGGGCAGGUGGUCUGUUAAGUCGUUUGUGAAAAUCCGGGGCUCAACCCCGUGAAAUGCGUACGAUACUGGCAGGCUGGAGAUCGGUAGAGGCUAGCGGAAUUCCUGGUGUAGCGGUGGAAUGCGUAGAGAUCAGGAAGAACACCCGUGGCGAAGGCGGCUAGCUGGGCCGAGUCUGACACUCAUCCGCGAAAGCGUGGGGAGCAAACAGG